rnacentral:rRNA from 1 species
UUGCCCAGACAACUAGGAUGUUGGCUUAGAAGCAGCCAUCAUUUAAAGAGUGCGUAAUAGCUCACUAGUCGAGUGACACUGCGCCGAAAAUGUACCGGGGCUAAACAUAUUACCGAAGCUGUGGAUUGUCCUUUGGACAAUGGUAGGAGAGCGUUCUAAGGGCGUUGAAGCAUGAUCGUAAGGACAUGUGGAGCGCUUAGAAGUGAGAAUGCCGGUGUGAGUAGCGAAAGACGGGUGAGAAUCCCGUCCACCGAUUGACUAAGGUUUCCAGAGGAAGGCUCGUCCGCUCUGGGUUAGUCGGGUCCUAAGCUGAGGCCGACAGGCGUAGGCGAUGGAUAACAGGUUGAUAUUCCUGUACCACCUAUAAUCGUUUUAAUCGAUGGGGGGACGCAGUAGGAUAGGCGAAGCGUGCGAUUGGAUUGCACGUCUAAGCAGUAAGGCUGAGUAUUAGGCAAAUCCGGUACUCGUUAAGGCUGAGCUGUGAUGGGGAGAAGACAUUGUGUCUUCGAGUCGUUGAUUUCACACUGCCGAGAAAAGCCUCUAGAUAGAAAAUAGGUGCCCGUACCGCAAACCGACACAGGUAGUCAAGAUGAGAAUUCUAAGGUGAGCGAGCGAACUCUCGUUAAGGAACUCGGCAAAAUGACCCCGUAACUUCGGGAGAAGGGGUGCUCUUUAGGGUUAACGCCCAGAAGAGCCGCAGUGAAUAGGCCCAAGCGACUGUUUAUCAAAAACACAGGUCUCUGCUAAACCGUAAGGUGAUGUAUAGGGGCUGACGCCUGCCCGGUGCUGGAAGGUUAAGAGGAGUGGUUAGCUUCUGCGAAGCUACGAAUCGAAGCCCCAGUAAACGGCGGCCGUAACUAUAACGGUCCUAAGGUAGCGAAAUUCCUUGUCGGGUAAGUUCCGACCCGCACGAAAGGCGUAACGAUUUGGGCACUGUCUCAACGAGAGACUCGGUGAAAUCAUAGUACCUGUGAAGAUGCAGGUUACCCGCGACAGGACGGAAAGACCCCGUGGAGCUUUACUGUAGCCUGAUAUUGAAAUUCGGCACAGCUUGUACAGGAUAGGUAGGAGCCUUUGAAACGUGAGCGCUAGCUUACGUGGAGGCGCUGGUGGGAUACUACCCUAGCUGUGUUGGCUUUCUAACCCGCACCACUUAUCGUGGUGGGAGACAGUGUCAGGCGGGCAGUUUGACUGGGGCGGUCGCCUCCUAAAAGGUAACGGAGGCGCUCAAAGGUUCCCUCAGAAUGGUUGGAAAUCAUUCAUAGAGUGUAAAGGCAUAAGGGAGCUUGACUGCGAGACCUACAAGUCGAGCAGGGUCGAAAGACGGACUUAGUGAUCCGGUGGUUCCGCAUGGAAGGGCCAUCGCUCAACGGAUAAAAGCUACCCCGGGGAUAACAGGCUUAUCUCCCCCAAGAGUUCACAUCGACGGGGAGGUUUGGCACCUCGAUGUCGGCUCAUCGCAUCCUGGGGCUGUAGUCGGUCCCAAGGGUUGGGCUGUUCGCCCAUUAAAGCGGUACGCGAGCUGGGUUCAGAACGUCGUGAGACAGUUCGGUCCCUAUCCGUCGUGGGCGUAGGAAAUUUGAGAGGAGCUGUCCUUAGUACGAGAGGACCGGGAUGGACAUACCUCUGGUGUACCAGUUGUCGUGCCAACGGCAUAGCUGGGUAGCUAUGUGUGGACGGGAUAAGUGCUGAAAGCAUCUAAGCAUGAAGCCCCCCUCAAGAUGAGAUUUCCCAACUUCGGUUAUAAGAUCCCUCAAAGAUGAUGAGGUUAAUAGGUUCGAGGUGGAAGCAUGGUGACAUGUGGAGCUGACGAAUACUAAUCGAUCGAAGACUUAAUCAA